UUAUCCGGAUUUAUUGGGUUUAAAGGGUGCGUAGGCGGCAAGGUAAGUCAGCGGUGAAAGACCAGGGCUCAACUCUGGAAGUGCCGUUGAUACUGUCUGGCUAGAAUGAUUCCGCCGUGGGAGGAAUGAGUAGUGUAGCGGUGAAAUGCAUAGAUAUUACUCAGAACACCGAUUGCGAAGGCAUCUCACGAGGGGUUCAUUGACGCUGAGGCACGAAAGCGUGGGGAUCGAACAGGAUUAGAUACCCUGGUAGUCCACGCAGUAAACGAUGAUGGCUAACUGUCGGGCCUUCGGGUUCGGCGGCCAAGCGAAAGCGAUAAGCCAUCCACCUGGGGAGUACGACCGCAAGGUUGAAACUCAAAGGAAUUGACGGGGGCCCGCACAAGCGGAGGAACAUGUGGUUUAAUUCGAUGAUACGCGAGGAA
rnacentral:rRNA from 1 species